rnacentral:rRNA from 1 species
GAUCCUGGCUCAGGAUGAACGCUAGCUACAGGCUUAACACAUGCAAGUCGAGGGGCAGCAUGGUCUUAGCUUGCUAAGGCCGAUGGCGACCGGCGCACGGGUGAGUAACACGUAUCCAACCUGCCGUCUACUCUUGGACAGCCUUCUGAAAGGAAGAUUAAUACAAGAUGGCAUCAUGAGUUCACAUGUUCACAUGAUUAAGGUAAGUUCCGUUACGGACGAA